AUUGAACGCUGGCGGCAGGCCUAACACAUGCAAGUCGAACGCGUGGCGGACGGGUGAGUAAUGUCUGGGAAUCUGCCUGAUGGAGGGGUAUCACUACUGGAAAGUAUAGCUAAUCCCGCAUACUAUCGGAUGUGCCCAGAGGGGAUUAGCUAGUAUGUGGGGUAAAGGCACACCUAGGCGACGAUCCCUAGCUGGUCUGAGAGGAUGACCAGCCACACUGGAACUGAGACACGGUCCAGACUCCUACGGGAGGCAGCAGUGGGGAAUAUUGCACAAUGGGCGCAAGCCUGAUGCAGCCAUGCCGCGUGUAUGAAGAAGGCCUUCGGGUUGUAAAGUACUUUCAGCGGGGAGGCGUUACCCGCAGAAGAAGCACCGGCUAACUCCGUGCCAGCCGCCGCGGUAAUUC
rnacentral:rRNA from 1 species